GGGUGUGUAGCUCAGUUGGUAGAGCAGCUGACUCUUAAUCAGCGGGUCCACAGUUCGAUCCUGUGCACACCCACCA
rnacentral:tRNA from 183 species